UCUCUGUCGUCUGGGCGCGAUACAUAUUCCAUGCGCUCUCGAUUACAUUACAAAAGUACUUUUGUAACCCGAUUCGCAACGAGUGCUCUGGAGCGGAUGGUAAAAGAGGAGGAGAAAAAUGAAGCGGAAUGGGAGUAGAGAAGAGUGGAUGCAUGAGAAAAAGUGAAUAAAAUGAAAGAAAAAAAAAGUGAAAAAGCGCGUCGAAGCUGGUUAAACUCGUUAUUGGCGUCACAAGAGGCAGGACAACGCGAUAUACACAUAUAUAUAUUUACAUCUCUUAGCUCCCGCGAGUGUGCGUUAUACGUGUGUGGCGUCGCGUCGUCGGUCUCGAAAUAUCCAGCCGACCUGCUGAUCGAAGGAGACGCCAAGCUCUGUUCAAUACACACGAAAAUUCCCAUGUGCACACAUUCCCAUCGGUUCAUGUACGCGAAUAAACAACCUUAAGGAGCAAAAUCAACGGGGCACGUUUCCCCGGGUAGACCCCUUAAACGGACUCCCAAAAUCGCGCGCUUUCGCAUUCGCGGCCGCCCGUUUCGGCGAUCAAGGUCGAGACUCGCUCUCCCCGCGCCUCUCGCGUGGCCUAGAGUCGUUCUCCCGGUUUAUCAUCGCAUAUCUACAGGUACACCGGUAUCCUGUAUAUACAGCGUACCACGAAAACAUCUUUGCCCGGAGCUGCCACCUCCGUGCCCGUACACCGGACUCCAUUAACAUCCCAACUUUCACUUUGCCGAAGGAAAACACCCGUUUGGUGGUAGUUGCUUUCGUCGCUUAGCCCUGCAUCGAUGACGUCUCGUGUGUUGGGCUUUUUGCCCAAAUUUCGGUCCCAAGUUCAAGGUCUCAGGGGCAUGACCGAAGGCUCGAAAAAAAGGCUCGAUUCGUUGGCGAAUGCCCGGACAGUGGAAUGCGAUAUCGAGGCGUUUUUGUCUAUGCAAAGUGCGCGGAGAAAUCGUCUGGGGAGGAGCGGAUUGCGGGGAACGCAAGACUCGGCGAGUCGCCCGGCGGCGGCUAGUCGAGAGUCGUAAAGAUGAUAACAGCCUGGACGUGUAUUGAUAAUUCUCAUAAGCAGGCUCUUUCGUAACGGACUCUUGUCUAAGAUUGCAAGAAAGGCGGUAUUAAGAUCGCAGACUUUCGACGCUACGAAAAAUCCUCGGACUAUCAGCCAAUUUCUCCGUUUUUUAUGGCCCAAUAAUUCUCCGCGUGCGUUUAGUUAUCGAAUAGCAUUCGUUGCUCAACGUUGCGAGUCGAGAUCCGGUGCUCGGCCAGUGAGAAAAGGAGCAACGCGGAGGAUCGUUACGUCUGAACGGUGCGAUGUUGAGCGGCGGUUUUAAACGCCGCGAUAAUCCGUCAGGAACUCGCUUCCUGUUCUCUCCUUCAUAGGCUCGAUCGAUCAAAACUUUUGUGCGAGAAUUCAGGGACCAUCGUCGUACUCCCGAUCCUGAAAGCUGGCAACGAAUCCGCCGAAAUGAGCGAAAUUUUUUUUCCAAUUCCUCAACCAUUUUCCCCGAACAAAUGAAUGAAUUUUAAUUAAAUUUAACCCUUAAUAGACACACGGGGUAUAUUGAAGCCGAGCCGUUUUUCGACCGACGAUACCAAAUAGAAAUAUCGAGAAAAUGGGACUUGCGGUGCCCUCGGUCGAUCGUUCGAACCUUUGAGAAGAGAGCCUCAUCGUUAUUAUUUGAAAGGGCCCGUUAGUUUAGUUUUGGUAGUCGAUCAAGUCAGACCGUGCGAAGAUCCGGGGUCCGAUCCACCCCAGCGUGACAAAUUUAACUAAUAUUACCUGAAAGCGUGAUUUCUCAGGUUUAUAGAAAGAGCUGAUUUUUUUUUUUAAUUUGAAAAUUACGACUUCUACAUCAAUUUUUGUGAAAAAAGUCUCUUUUCCUGCAUUCUUUUCUUUGACAUUUUUUUUAACAUUAAAAAUAACACGAAUAGAAUAAAAUCGUUAUGGUCGUUUCUUGAAGGUUCAAAAUA
rnacentral:lncRNA from 1 species